GAGGAAGGUGGGGAUGACGUCAAGUCCUCAUGGCCCUUACGGGCUGGGCUACACACGUGCUACAAUGGUGGUGACAGUGGGCAGCGAGCACGCGAGUGUGAGCUAAUCUCCAAAAGCCAUCUCAGUUCGGAUUGCACUCUGCAACUCGAGUGCAUGAAGUUGGAAUCGCUAGUAAUCGCGGAUCAGCAUGCCGCGGUGAAUACGUUCCCGGGCCUUGUACACACCGCCCGUCACACCAUGGGAGUUGGUUUUACCCGAAGGCGCUGUGCUAACCGCAAGGAGGCAGGCGACCACGGUAGGGUCAGCGACUGGGGUGAAGUCGUAACAAGGUAGCCGUAGGGGAACCUGCGGCUGGAUCACCUCCUUU
rnacentral:rRNA from 1 species